UGGGGAAUUUUGGACAAUGGGGGAAACCCUGAUCCAGCCAUCCCGCGUGUGCGAUGAAGGCCUUCGGGUUGUAAAGCACUUUUGGCAGGAAAGAAACGUCGCGGGUUAAUACCCCGCGGAACUGACGGUACCUGCAGAAUAAGCACCGGCUAACUACGUGCCAGCAGCCGCGGUAAUACGUAGGGUGCAAGCGUUAAUCGGAAUUACUGGGCGUAAAGCGUGCGCAGGCGGUUCGGAAAGAAAGAUGUGAAAUCCCAGAGCUUAACUUUGGAACUGCAUUUUUAACUACCGGGCUAGAGUGUGUCAGAGGGAGGUGGAAUUCCGCGUGUAGCAGUGAAAUGCGUAGAUAUGCGGAGGAACACCGAUGGCGAAGGCAGCCUCCUGGGAUAACACUGACGCUCAUGCACGAAAGCGUGGGGAGCAAACAGGAUUAGAUACCCUGGUAGUCCACGCCCUAAACGAUGUCAACUAGCUGUUGGGGUCUUCGGACCUUGGUAGCGCAGCUAACGCGUGAAGUUGACCGCCUGGGGAGUACGGUCGCAAGAUUAAAAACUUAAAUGAAUUG
rnacentral:rRNA from 1 species